rnacentral:rRNA from 1 species
UACAGAGGGGGCAAGCGUUGUUCGGAAUUACUGGGCGUAAAGGGCGCGUAGGCGGCCUGUUAAGUCGAACGUGAAAUCCCCGGGCUCAACCUGGGAAUGGCAAUGGAUACUGGCAAGCUAGAGUGCGGUAGAGGGUAGUGGAAUUCCCGGUGUAGCGGUGAAAUGCGUAGAGAUCGGGAGGAACACCAGUGGCGAAGGCGGCUACCUGGACCAGCACUGACACUGAGGCACGAAAGCGUGGGGAGCAAACAGG